CUCUCUCUCUCUCUCUGCCGUUCCAUUCCACUAAAGUGGCAAGCCACGGCUGUAUUUUUGCCUGUGCGGUACACCAGAACCACCUUGAGGCGACUGCGCUUUGCAAAGAUUGUCCCUGAAUUUGAGGCAGCACUUCUAGACCUCUCAGCAAGCAACAAUCUGGAUCCAAUUUUCAAAUGAAAGGCCACUUCAUUAAACAUUUUUCUUUUAAACUAUGGAA